AACCUAGCACACCUGCGGUGUGUACCUGCGGAGGGAUCAUUAAACAACUAGGCCGUAACAAGCCUUGAACCCUUCUCUACGCGCACCCUUACCUUCUCCUUCGGCGGGUCAGCGCCCGCCGUCGGAACCAACAAACCCCCUUUUGCAUCUAGCAUACCACCCGUUCCGAUACAAAACACAAUCGUUACAACUUUCAACAACGGAUCU
rnacentral:misc_RNA from 1 species